rnacentral:tRNA from 1 species
GCGUUUGCGGUCUAGUGGUAGAAUACCUCGUUGCCAUCGAGGUGACCCGGGUUUGGUUCCCCGCAGACGCA